rnacentral:rRNA from 1 species
CGACUUAUAUUCUGUAGCAAGGUUAACCGAAUAGGGGAGCCGAAGGGAAACCGAGUCUUAACCGGGCGUUAAGUUGCAGGGUAUAGACCCGAAACCCGGUGAUCUAGCCAUGGGCAGGUUGAAGGUUGGGUAACACUAACUGGAGGACCGAACCGACUAAUGUUGAAAAAUUAGCGGAUGACUUGUGGCUGGGGGUGAAAGGCCAAUCAAACCGGGAGAUAGCUGGUUCUCCCCGAAAGCUAUUUAGGUAGCGCCUCGUGAAUUCAUCUCCGGGGGUAGAGCACUGUUUCGGCAAGGGGGUCAUCCCGACUUACCAACCCGAUGCAAACUGCGAAUACCGGAGAAUGUUAUCACGGGAGACACACGGCGGGUGCUAACGUCCGUCGUGAAGAGGGAAACAACCCAGACCGCCAGCUAAGGUCCCAAAGUCAUGGUUAAGUGGGAAACGAUGUGGGAAGGCCCAGACAGCCAGGAUGUUGGCUUAGAAGCAGCCAUCAUUUAAAGAAAGCGUAAUAGCUCACUGGUCGAGUCGGCCUGCGCGGAAGAUGUAACGGGGCUAAACCAUGCACCGAAGCUGCGGCAGCGACACUGUGUGUUGUUGGGUAGGGGAGCGUUCUGUAAGCCUGUGAAGGUGUCUGUGAGGAUGCUGGAGGUAUCAGAAGUGCGAAUGCUGACAUAAGUAACGAUAAAGCGGGUGAAAAGCCCGCUCGCCGGAAGACCAAGGGUUCCUGUCCAACGUUAAUCGGGGCAGGGUGAGUCGACCCCUAAGGCGAGGCCGAAAGGCGUAGUCGAUGGGAAACAGGUUAAUAUUCCUGUACUUGGUGUUACUGCGAAGGGGGGACGGAGAAGGCUAUGUUGGCCGGGCGACGGUUGUCCCGGUUUAAGCGUGUAGGCUGGUUUUCCAGGCAAAUCCGGAAAAUCAAGGCUGAGGCGUGAUGACGAGGCACUACGGUGCUGAAGCAACAAAUGCCCUGCUUCCAGGAAAAGCCUCUAAGCAUCAGGUAACAUCAAAUCGUACCCCAAACCGACACAGGUGGUCAGGUAGAGAAUACCAAGGCGCUUGAGAGAACUCGGGUGAAGGAACUAGGCAAAAUGGUGCCGUAACUUCGGGAGAAGGCACGCUGAUAUGUAGGUGAAGUCCCUCGCGGAUGGAGCUGAAAUCAGUCGAAGAUACCAGCUGGCUGCAACUGUUUAUUAAAAACACAGCACUGUGCAAACACGAAAGUGGACGUAUACGGUGUGACGCCUGCCCGGUGCCGGAAGGUUAAUUGAUGGGGUCAGCGCAAGCGAAGCUCUUGAUCGAAGCCCCGGUAAACGGCGGCCGUAACUAUAACGGUCCUAAGGUAGCGAAAUUCCUUGUCGGGUAAGUUCCGACCUGCACGAAUGGCGUAAUGAUGGCCAGGCUGUCUCCACCCGAGACUCAGUGAAAUUGAACUCGCUGUGAAGAUGCAGUGUACCCGCGGCAAGACGGAAAGACCCCGUGAACCUUUACUAUAGCUUGACACUGAACAUUGAGCCUUGAUGUGUAGGAUAGGUGGGAGGCUUUGAAGUGUGGACGCCAGUCUGCAUGGAGCCGACCUUGAAAUACCACCCUUUAAUGUUUGAUGUUCUAACGUGGACCCGUGAUCCGGGUUGCGGACAGUGUCUGGUGGGUAGUUUGACUGGGGCGGUCUCCUCCUAAAGAGUAACGGAGGAGCACGAAGGUUGGCUAAUCCUGGUCGGACAUCAGGAGGUUAGUGCAAUGGCAUAAGCCAGCUUGACUGCGAGCGUGACGGCGCGAGCAGGUGCGAAAGCAGGUCAUAGUGAUCCGGUGGUUCUGAAUGGAAGGGCCAUCGCUCAACGGAUAAAAGGUACUCCGGGGAUAACAGGCUGAUACCGCCCAAGAGUUCAUAUCGACGGCGGUGUUUGGCACCUCGAUGUCGGCUCAUCACAUCCUGGGGCUGAAGUAGGUCCCAAGGGUAUGGCUGUUCGCCAUUUAAAGUGGUACGCGAGCUGGGUUUAGAACGUCGUGAGACAGUUCGGUCCCUAUCUGCCGUGGGCGCUGGAGAACUGAGGGGGGCUGCUCCUAGUACGAGAGGACCGGAGUGGACGCAUCACUGGUGUUCGGGUUGUCAUGCCAAUGGCACUGCCCGGUAGCUAAAUGCGGAAGAGAUAAGUGCUGAAAGCAUCUAAGCACGAAACUUGCCCCGAGAUGAGUUCUCCCUGACCCUUUAAGGGUCCUGAAGGAACGUUGAAGACGACGACGUUGAUAGGCCGGGUGUGUAAGCGCAGCGAUGCGUUGAGCUAACCGGUACUAAUGAACCGUGAGGCUUAACCU